AACGAACGCUGGCGGCAUGCCUAACACAUGCAAGUCGAACGAGACCUUCGGGUCUAUUGGCGCACGGGUGCGUAACGCGUGGGAACCUGCCCUUAGGUUCGGAAUAACUCCCCGAAAGGGGUGCUAAUACCGGAUAAUGUCUUCGGACCAAAGAUUUAUCGCCUUUGGAUGGGCCCGCGUUGGAUUAGCUAGUUGGUAGGGUAAAAGCCUACCAAGGCGACGAUCCAUAGCUGGUCUGAGAGGAUGAUCAGCCACACUGGGACUGAGACACGGCCCAGACUCCUACGGGAGGGAGGAGUGGGGAAUAUUGGCCAAUGGGCGAAAGCCUGAUCCAGCAAUGCCGCGUGAGUGAUGAAGGCCUUAGGGUUGUAAAGCUCUUUUACACGGGAUGAUAAUGACAGUACCGGGAGAAUAAGCUCCGGCUAACUCCGUG
rnacentral:rRNA from 1 species